rnacentral:rRNA from 1 species
UCUAACCGGUUGGGUUCGGUGUACAGAAGGGGACCGGCGCAGGUCCGGUCUGGUCUGGUCUGGUUUGGGCUGUGAAGGUAAGGUGGUAGCAGAAGAAGGCGGGGAGAGAGAGGGCCGCUGAGACGGGAGGACGGGGAGGGAUCCCAAAAUGGGCCGCUAGAGGGGGGUGGGGGAGACGGGGGCGAGAACGGGACAGCUCCGCGGGCGACCUUUUACCCCCUUCACCUCCUGCAGUCAUUGUCCUACCUCCGCGUCGACGCGCAGGUGCGCCGCCUCCUGCUGCGGCUAGAGGGCGAGGGGCGGGAGAAGCUGUCCCGCAGGGUGGAGGUGAGCGAGCGGAGGUCGAGGAGGGAGCUGGUCCUUCCCUAGGCCUUCCCCCAGCUGGACGACGCCGCGACGCUGCUGUACCAGUCGUUCGAGCCGGAGAAGAGAAGGUUGCUCUGGUUCCUUCUGCAGAGGUGGCGGUUAGAGUUCAUGGACGAGCACGGCAUGAUGGAACCCCUUUACUGACUCGUUCACCUCGUCCUCCUGGCCUAAGGCCAGGAGUUCCGUAGCGUCCUGGUAAACUUCCUCAAGUAAAGACAUACACUUCGUAACCUCGAAUAAGGUCUCCUGCUCGAAGUCAAUAUAUCCGUCCCCGUCAGACUUUGUCCCCGUUUGGCUUCUCGUGUUUUCCAACGGUCCAAGUUCGCCGUUUUCCGACGUCUUUGCUUCGAGGUUCUCUAGUUUCUCUCUUUCCUUUCCGCGCCAGCAAGUAACUCUCGUUGCCGAAAUAGUCGUGGAUAACUUCGGCCCCUUCUUCUACUAAACCUCCGGCUACCUCUCCUUCUUUCCCUCCGAACCGAACGAUGAUAGAGGAACCGAGAAACGUUCCGAAAACUAGAGCAACUGUACAAUUUCUUCCUUCUUCUCUACGAAGACCGACAUUUUCUUUCUUUUCUUUUCCUACCUUUACGUAAACGAGCUCUUUACGAUCUACUUGCGUCCGUUUUCCGACUUCGUACCGUGGUCUUACGACGGUCGGCACGUGGUAUAAGGUUUGGUCGACGAGGUUAGUGAACACGUUGAAAACGAGUUCUACAGUAACUUCCGUCUCGUUCACAAAGUGUUCGAGUACUGGUGUUUGUGGUUGGGGACUAUAAACCUGGACGUUCAGAACAACCACCCCCUGAGUGGUCACUCUCCCUUUCUUACCGCCGUGUUCAAAAAGUCGGACCAAAGUCCUACGGCUGUUACUCGUAGCUUGUUCGGCCGAAUCGACUUUACUUUUACUACCUCGUUACCGUUCUUUCUUGACGGUUCUACUAAGUUCUCCGAUCGAGGAGAACCGUGUUCCUACUGUGAUCAAACCGCGUCCUGCUGCUCCUGCGUCUUCUCCUCUUUCGUUCCCGUAAACUACUGACCUUCCUACUUUUGGGUGCGCCACGUCCGUUGUUCUUCGAGUGAGGGACGCCGAUUUAACUUUCGAUAGCUGUGACACGACUUCUAUGGUGUACACGGUAGGUAUAGAGAUAACUAUAUCGUAAACUGUAGUACUUAGUUGAUUAAGACUAGACAGCUACAGGUGGUUAGACAUAGGAGACUUCAAAAAGAGUCCCUGGAAUAACGAGGAGGAACGGUAGUUGUGACUGCUAAGCCAGAAGGAUUUGGCCAAAGUGGAGAUCAGGACGGUCCGAGACCGCCACUCGAGGAGCAUCAGGUCCUCCUCUUGGACGGCACCGGAGCUGUACGGUCCAUGGCCCGUGGCCCGAACCCCUUCCACCGUUCGUCCUGUAGCCACGGUCGGUAGGCCCACCUCCACCCGCGCCAGCCCAUCCACCUGUGAGAUACUGGUUUCAAUAGCUAGUAUCCCCUCACUUAC